AUGUGAUCGUCUCUCGCAUAUCAAUAAGCGGAGGAAAAGAAACUAACAAGGAUUCCCCUAGUAACGGCGAGUGAAGCGGGAAGAGCUCAAAUUUGAAAUCUUAAAGGGUUUCCCUUUACGAAUUGUAGUUUAAAGAAGUGUUUUCUGUUGAGGUUUUGGUAAAAGUUCUUUGGAAUAGGACAUCAUAGAGGGUGAGAAUCCCGUAUUUGAUCCUUUACUUUCAACUUUGUGAUACACUUUCAAAGAGUCGGAUUGUUUGGGAAUGCAGUCCAAAAUGGGUGGUAAAUUUCAUCUAAAGCUAAAUAUUGGCGAGAGACCGAUAGCGAACAAGUACCGUGAGGGAAAGAUGAAAAGAACUUUGAAAAGAGAGUUAAACAGUACGUGAAAUUGUCAAAAGGGAAGCGUUUGACACCAGUGUUGUUUUUCUGAAAAUCAAUUAAAGAACUGUUUAUGCUAAGUUGUUUAGACUUUAUCAGCUAUCUGUUUAGUUUUGAGCUUUUCUUUAAUGCACUUUUCAGUUAACAAGUCAACAUCAAUUUCCUUUUGCUGUAAAAAAGCUUGAGGAAGGUGGCUUGAGAUUCGUCUUAAGUGUUUAUAGCCUCUUGCCUUUGCAGUCGGAGAGAUUGAGGUCUGCAGCGUAGAUCCUUCGGGGCUAAAUGCAUUUGUGCUAAGUUAUAACAUUUUAUAGACAACUUGUUGACUAUGAUUUGUCUUGUAGCUUACUCGCUUAUGUUAUUUUACCUACGCUUAGGAUGUUGAAGUCAUCGUAUCGCGC
rnacentral:rRNA from 1 species